AAUUAGCUUACACUCGCCACAAGCUACAUCAGAGUCACAUCAGUACAGUACAUAAUCAUCAUGAAUAAGAGCAGGGUCCGACUACGGACGAAAACAAACGAGAAAAGAAGAACGACGUCCAUCCUUGCUAUCCCAGGCUGCCGGCCUGGAACCGAUCCUAGAUCGCUGAAGAAGAAGAAGAAGAAGCAACUCCAAAUGAACA
rnacentral:lncRNA from 1 species